rnacentral:rRNA from 1 species
CCUACGGGUGGCAGCAGUAGGGAAUCUUCCACAAUGGGCGAAAGCCUGAUGGAGCAACGCCGCGUGGGUGAAGAAGGCCUUCGGAUCGUAAAACUCUGUUGUUAGAGAAGAAAGUGCGUGAGAGUAACUGUUCACGUUUCGACGGUAUAUAACCAGAAAGCCACGGCUAACUACGUGCCAGCAGCCGCGGUAAGACGUAGGUGGCAAGCGUUAUCCGGAUUUAUUGGGCGUAAAGGGAACGCAGGCGGUCUUUUAAGUCUGAUGUGAAAGCCUUCGGCUUAACCGGAGUAGUGCAUUGGAAACUGGGAGACUUGAGUGCAGAAGAGGCGAGUGGAACUCCAAGUGUAGCGGUGAAAUGCGUAGAUAUAUGGAAGAACACCAGUGGCGAAGGCGGCUCUCUGGUCUGUAACUGACGCUGAGGUUCGAAAGCGUGGGUAGCAAACAGGAUUAGAUACCCCAGUAGUC